UACGGGGGGGCAAGCGUUGUUCGGAAUUACUGGGCGUAAAGUGUGCGCAGGCGGCUUCGCAAGUCGAGUGUGAAAAUCCCCCGAGCUUAACUUGGGAAUUGCGCUCGAAACUACGGAGCUGGAGUGUGGCAGAGGAAGGUGGAAUUCCACGUGUAGCGGUGAAAUGCGUAGAGAUGUGGAGGAACACCGAUGGCGAAGGCAGCCUUCUGGGCCAACACUGACGCUCAUGCACGAAAGCGUGGGGAGCAAACAGG
rnacentral:rRNA from 1 species